rnacentral:sRNA from 1 species
CCCUCUCUCAAGACAUCGAUCAUG